rnacentral:rRNA from 1 species
UACGGAGGGUGCGAACGUUAAUCGGAAUCACUGGGCGUAAAGAGCGCGCAGGCGGCUGGUCAAGUCCGAUGUGAAAGCUCCCGGCUUAACUGGGAAAUUGCAUCGGAAACUGAUCGGCUGGAGUGUGGCAGAGGGAGGUGGAAUUCCACGUGUAGCAGUGAAAUGCGUAGAGAUGUGGAGGAACACCGAUGGCGAAGGCAGCCUCCUGGGCCAGCACUGACGCUCAUGCACGAAAGCGUGGGGAGCAAACAGG